UUACACCAAGUAAGCCGCUGCAGAGAAAUCGCGUCCCGGCCGCUCGCACCGUCACCGUGUGCAGGUUUUCCGCGUCAGUCUCAGUCGCCCUUCUUGUCCUGAAUAUUCGACCUGCCCACGCUAAGUUUACGCUUCGAAGAACUGCUACUCGACGAAUAACCGCGUCUCAUCACCAUGCUGGCUGGCCUUUUGUGCUGCCUACGGCUGAACGAGCAUCAGCGGCAGAGACGAUGUACUCUUUCACAACUUCCCACAUGAGAAAAAACAAUCUGCUCAGUGGAUCGCUGCUGUGAAAUGAAGUAAUUUCAAGCCUUUGAUUACCACUGUUCUCUGCUGAAAACAUUUUCGUGACAGUGACUACCAUCAGUUUAUCGCUAAUGCGUGCAAUGGGAUCUCCGGUGAAAUCUGCUACGCUGAGGCCUGGCGUAGUGCCGUCGACGUUCGACGAAUGGAACCAAUCGCAGGUACCGAAAGCAGCACUCUCGAGGGGGCGAAAACAUGAGAUUCUUGGACAGUUGCUCUCUGGAGAUGCUACCAUCGGGCACACGCCAAGACCAAGUCAUUGUAGCGAAAGAGAUCAUGAUGACUGUGCAGCAGAGCCAAUAUAUCAAGCAGCACUGGAUCUGGCUUGUGAGUCGGGACAAGCUGUAGACACAUCACCAGACUCAGC